GUGCGGCGCGAGCCCCGGGAAACAUGGCUGCUCGUCCUAUUUCGGCGUCGCGGCAUGGCCACCAGCUCCCGGAGCCCAGUUGGGAGAGGUGCCGAAGGCAUAACUGUGACGCCUGAUGAAGAGCAAAACUUGAAUCAUUAUAUACAAGUUUUAGAGAACCUAGUACGAAGUGUUCCCUCUGGGGAGCCAGGUCGUGAGAAAAAAUCUAACUCUCCAAAACAUGUUUAUUCUAUAGCAUCAAAGGGAUCAAAAUUUAAGGAGCUAGUUACACAUGGAGACGCUUCAACUGAGAAUGAUGUUUUAACCAAUCCUAUCAGUGAAGAAACUACAACUUUCCCUACAGGAGGCUUCACACCGGAAAUAGGAAAGAAAAAACACACGGAAAGUACCCCAUUCUGGUCGAUCAAACCAAACAAUGUUUCCAUUGUUUUGCAUGCAGAGGAACCUUAUAUUGAAAAUGAAGAGCCAGAGCCAGAGCCGGAGCCAGCUGCAAAACAAACUGAGGCACCAAGAAUGUUGCCAGUUGUUACUGAAUCAUCUACAAGUCCAUAUGUUACCUCAUACAAGUCACCUGUCACCACUUUAGAUAAGAACACUGGCAUUGAGAUCUCUACAGAAUCA
rnacentral:sRNA from 1 species